rnacentral:rRNA from 1 species
CAGGUUUACCUGUGUGACUGCGUACCUUUUGUAUAAUGGGUCAGCGACUUAUAUUCUGUAGCAAGGUUAACCGAAUAGGGGAGCCGGAGGGAAACCGAGUCUUAACCGGGCGUUAAGUUGCAGGGUAUAGACCCGAAACCCGGUGAUCUAGCCAUGGGCAGGUUGAAGGUUGGGUAACACUAACUGGAGGACCGAACCGACUAAUGUUGAAAAAUUAGCGGAUGACCUGUGGCUGGGGGUGAAAGGCCAAUCAAACCGGGAGAUAGCUGGUUCUCCCCGAAAGCUAUUUAGGUAGCGCCUCGUGAAUUCAUCUCCGGGGGUAGAGCACUGUUUCGGCUAGGGGGCCAUCCCGGCUUACCAACCCGAUGCAAACUGCGAAUACCGGAGAAUGUUAUCACGGGAGACACACGGCGGGUGCUAACGUCCGUCGUGAAGAGGGAAACAACCCAGACCGCCAGCUAAGGUCCCAAAGUCAUGGUUAAGUGGGAAACGAUGUGGGAAGGCCCAGACAGCCAGGAUGUUGGCUUAGAAGCAGCCAUCAUUUAAAGAAAGCGUAAUAGCUCACUGGUCGAGUCGGCCUGCGCGGAAGAUGUAACGGGGCUAAACCAUG